UUCUGGGCACCUUGAAGCAUCAGGGCGCGAAAUCAAACUAGAUGUGGGCAGGGAGAGUGUUGCUUACCUGCCCUGCUGGGGCAGGGUUUCCUGAAACUGGGUUAAUUCUUUAUAGAAAUGUGAACACUGAAUUUAUUUUAAAAAAUAAUAAUAAUAAUUAAAAAUAAUUUUAAAAAAACACAGAAAACAACUUUCAUGUAUAUAGGUCUUGAAGUGAGUGAAGUGGCUGCUUUUUUUUUGCUUUUCGUAGAAGAGAUUGAGAAUGGUACUCUAACCAAAAAUAAAGUUUUGUAGUGGGACCAGAAAUUACUUACCUGACAUCCACCUGGGGGUGGGUCCCCCUCAUCCUGCUGGGGUUGAAAGUUCCAGACCUGCUGUCGAGGCCUUGUGUUUGUCAGAUACCCAGUGUCCUCCUGCAAGGACGCAACUGAGCUGAGGUGUGAGCCUAGGAGCCCAGGACCCCUGACCCCAGCCGCUGCUGCCAGCCUCAGAAAGGCACCCAGGUGUGCAGGGGAGCACACAGGGCCCGGCAGCCCCCAGGAAUCAAGGAUAGGGCUAAGGUUUUCACCUUAACUGUGAAGGCGGGAGGAAUAGGUGGCUGCUUCCUCCCGCCCUUCACAGAACUGAUUCUCAUGCACUGUCCCUUCAGUCCAGGGGGCCGGGGCUCAGGAGCCAUGACCUGGUGUCUCCUGCCCACCCUGGUCCCAGGUAAAUGUGAAUGGAGACAGGCAUGAGAGCCUGUCCUCAUCUUUGAUUUCCCCCCCAACCCCACCUCGGGCCUUACGACGGUGUUACCUAAGAAAGUCUUCCCUCCCACACCCACCCCCCGCUAGCCUGGUCAGUGGUCAGCAAAUUGGAAGAGGAUCCGAUGGGAGUGUAAAUGUGAGACACAAUGUCUUGAUUAUACCUGUUUGUGGUUUAGCUUUGUAUUUAAACAAGGAAAUAAACUUGAAAAUUAUUUGUCAUCAUAAAAAUGAAACAAAUUAAAAUAU
rnacentral:lncRNA from 1 species